rnacentral:tRNA from 1 species
GUAGCUCAGUGACAGAGUGCUUGCCUAACAUGCAUAGAGCCCUGGGUUCAAUUCCCAGC